rnacentral:rRNA from 1 species
ACUGCUCAGUAACACGUGGACAAUCUAACCUACGGAGGGGGAUAACCCCGGGAAACUGGGGAUAAUACCCCAUAGACUAUGGAUGCUGGAAUGCUUUGUAGUCGAAAGGUCCGCCGCCGUAGGAUGGGUCUGCGGCCGAUUAGGUUGUUGUUGGGGUAACGGCCCAACAAGCCUGUAAUCGGUACGGGUUGUGGGAGCAAGAGCCCGGAGAUGGAUUCUGAGACACGAAUCCAGGCCCUACGGGGCGCAGCAGGCGCGAAAACUUUACAAUGCGGGAAACCGUGAUAGGGGAACUCUGAGUGCCCGUUAAAUCGGGCUGUCCAUCAGUUUAAAUAACUGGUGAAGAAAGGGCCGGGCAAGACCGGUGCCAGCCGCCGCGGUAAUACCGGCGGCUCGAGUGGUGGCCACUAUUACUGGGCUUAAAGCGUUCGUAGCUGGUUUGUUAAGUCUCUGGGGAAAUCUUCCGGCUUAACCGGAAGGCGUCUCAGGGAUACUGGCAGACUAGGGACCGGGAGAGGUGAGGGGUACUCCAGGGGUAGGAGUGAAAUCCUGUAAUCCUUGGAGGACCACCUGUGGCGAAGGCGCCUCACCAGAACGGCUCCGACAGUGAGGGACGAAAGCUGGGGGAGCAAACCGGAUUAGAUACCCGGGUAGUCCCAGCUGUAAACGAUGCGCGUUAGGUGUAUCGAUGACCACGAGUCAUCGAGGUGCCGAAGAGAAAUCGUGAAACGUGCCGCCUGGGAAGUACGGUCGCAAGGCUGAAACUUAAAGGAAUUGGCGGGGGAGCAC